UACGGAGGGUGCAAGCGUUAUCCGGAAUCAUUGGGUUUAAAGGGUCCGCAGGCGGUCUUAUAAGUCAGUGGUGAAAGCCUACAGCUCAACUGUAGAACUGCCAUUGAUACUGUAAGACUUGAAUUCGAUCGAAGUGGGCGGAAUAUGACAUGUAGCGGUGAAAUGCUUAGAUAUGUCAUAGAACACCGAUAGCGAAGGCAGCUCACUAGGUCUGGAUUGACGCUCAGGGACGAAAGCGUGGGGAGCGAACAGG
rnacentral:rRNA from 1 species